rnacentral:rRNA from 1 species
GACGAAGGGGGCUAGCGUUGUUCGGAAUUACUGGGCGUAAAGCGCGUGUAGGCGGUUUGCCAAGUCGGGUGUGAAAGCCUUGGGCUUAACCCAAGAAAUGCACUCGGUACUGGCAGACUAGAGGACCGGAGAGGAUAGUGGAAUUCCCAGUGUAGUGGUGAAAAUACGUAGAGAUUGGGAAGAACACCAGUGGCGAAGGCGGCUACCUGGACGGUUUCUGACGCUAAGACGCGAAAGCGUGGGGAGCAAACAGG